rnacentral:rRNA from 1 species
AGUGAACGCUGGCGGUAGGCCUAACACAUGCAAGUCGAACGGCAGCACAGUAAGAGCUUGCUCUUACGGGUGGCGAGUGGCGGACGGGUGAGGAAUACAUCGGAAUCUACUUUUUCGUGGGGGAUAACGUAGGGAAACUUACGCUAAUACCGCAUACGACCUACGGGGGAAAGCAGGGGAUCUUCGGACCUUGCGCGAUUGAAUGAGCCGAUGUCGGAUUAGCUAGUUGGCGGGGUAAAGGCCCACCAAGGCGACGAUCCGUAGCUGGUCUGAGAGGAUGAUCAGCCACACUGGAACUGAGACACGGUCCAGACUCCUACGGGAGGCAGCAGUGGGGAAUAUUGGACAAUGGGCGCAAGCCUGAUCCAGCCAUACCGCGUGGGUGAAGAAGGCCUUCGGGUUGUAAAGCCCUUUUGUUGGGAAAGAAAAGCAGCAGGUUAAUACCCCGCUGUUAUGACGGUACCCAAAGAAUAAGCACCGGCUAACUUCGUG